rnacentral:lncRNA from 1 species
ACGAGCGUAGCUUCCUUGUCGUGUGGCCUCAGUCCUUCGCCGUCCCUCGCCGUCCUUCGCCAUCGCACGCCACCGCACCCCAUCUCUCGAAAUCUGCAGACAUCUUGAUUUUUCCCACGCUGUCUGUCAGGUCUCCGCCGCCACUCGACGCCAGGGCGCCGGGUGAGUCCACAGCAGGGCGCAUGGUCGGCUCCACUCUCACCAUCGGGGGAAACUGAGGCCCCGGGGAAGGCGGCCAGAGAGGUCAGGCCCUGUCCUUGGUGCAGUGUCUCGUCCUCUUUGCCGGAGUGAGCCCCCCAGGAUUCGCGUGUCCUCGGGAAAGACACUGGCAGGCCUUGUGGGCUGUGCUGCACCUCGGACGGCUUCGCACCAGCCAGCGCCCUCUCUCUCCUGCAGCACUCUGAUCUGCACCCCCUGAGGGGCUUCCACUGUCCGCGGGGUGAGAAUGCCCCUGGGAGUGUCACAUGACUGCCGCCCCAUGUGUGUGAGAGGCGUCCUCUGGGAGAGCAUGGAUCCUGAGGUCCCAGGCAGGGACAGGCCUGGGCCCUCUUCUGCCUUCGUGGGGCUGCUGCCAAGAAGGUGCUCCCUGAGCUUGAUUGGGGCUCUGAGAGUCCCUGACAAAGACCCUGUCAUGUUGAGAGGAAAACCAUGUGUUGGAAUGGACAGAGGGGCUGCGUUUCAGAUUCAAGCCUGGAUUCAUACCCAGUGCCCGGCUGAGCAGUCUUAUGAUUGUCAGCUGACCUCUGUCCUGUGUGCCCAGUGGCCCCAGGUGACGUGUCUUCAAGAAGAGGCUGAGCUGCGGUGCUUGUAAGAGUCAUGUGCUGUUCCUGGGGCUUGGAUGAUGUAGGGGAAGCAAGGUGAAAGUGGUAUCCCGUGGUUCCACGUUCUGUCCUGCUGUGGGGCUGUCCCUCACAUGCUUUCAGUGGCUGUUGCAGAGGAAGAGCCUCCGGAAAUCUGCGUGGGUAAAGUCUCAGCCUUAGAUCCAAGGACAGUCCAAGGAAGUCCUAAGACCAUGGAGUUGGUGAUCUGGGAUCUGGGUUUGCUGAUAUUUCUCACCGUGGUGAGUUGAUGCCAAGAGCCAGAACCCACAGCCAGAGGCUCAGCUGGUCCGUGUUUAUGCAGAUGGGAACCUCAAAUCACUGGUCUCACUUGUCCUUUGUUUCAGAAUCUCUUGGUGGUGUUUGUGGGCACGAGAGGGGCAGAGAAUGGAGAGUGAGGCUACCACAUGAAGCGUCACCAGAGCUGCUCCCUGCUGCCUGCUCAGAGCACCCCGGAUCCACUGUUCAAUCUGCACAAGAUUCGGGGUCCAGACAUGGGAGACUUCAGCUGCCUCAGAGGACCGUGGACAGGGAAGGCCAGCCUCGCAUCCCUCUGUCCAUGCCUGGAAUGACUUUAAUAACCAAGAGUUUUAUUUUUGAAUUUGUAGCUGUCGUUCACUUUUUACCCACCCAUUCAAUAAACCUUACAGAAUUGC